UGAAAUGUAGGGAAAUGGUGCACCCGACAGGAUUCGAACCUGUGGCCUCUGCCUUCGGAGGGCAGCGCUCUAUCCA
rnacentral:tRNA from 1 species